AUUUCGUUCAUGACCAGUUAGUUUGCUUUGAGACCAAAAUCAUGGAAAGAAUUGUUUGUGAAACAAGGUACCGCUGUAUUUGGAAAUGUUCCAUUCAUUGUUGCCAACUGUAGUCACCCUGCUGUGCUGUAGAACAAUAGGAGUUGUUACUCCUGUCCACCUGCACUCCUGUACCCACUAACCGUCCUCUCUACCUCUGCCUUCCCCACAGCCUUCCCAGGCCCUGGAAAACUCUCUUCUAGUGUCUGCUUCUUUGAUACCAUCCUUAGCUUCCGCCGUGCAUAAUGUUCUGCCGUGCAUCUACACCAGUUUCUUUAUCCACUCAUCAGCGAUGGGCAUCUGGGUGAUUCCAUGUGUUGGCUGUGGUGAGGAGUGCAGUAAGUGUGUGUACAGCUUUCUGGGACACGGGGGUUUCAUUUCCUUUGGGUGUGUGCGUAGC
rnacentral:lncRNA from 1 species